UUUUAUAGUGUAAACCGCGGUCCACCGAACCGAUCUAACCGCAUUAGUUUGGUUUGGUUUGGUUUGGAUGACUUUUUAAAAAUCAACCGAACCAAACCGAACCGCAUGUAUUUUUAUCUCGCGGUUAGGAUGACUUUUAUGCUCAAAACCGAACCAAACCGCACCGCGAACACCCCUAAUAGUAUCUUAUUCCAGCUCUUGAUGGAAAUUGUCAUCUCAAUCAUUUCUUUCUCCCAAACGUAAAAAUUGAGAUUCUAAUUCUUACAAAUUUGGAAUUUAAAUUUAAAUUAUGAACUACAAUGAAUUAUGAAUGUUUGGAUCUUAUACUAUUGAAUAUAUGUGGUUACUUUAUGUUUCAUGAGUCUUCCAGGCGGUUCAAAGGUUUAUACACAAAAAGAUGAUCAAGGUAAGCAUAAAGUUUAAUAGAAGAAUUGUAUUUAUUUGACCAACUAAUCAUUGCUGUCAUAAAUAGUUCACAAUUCAUAUUAUUAUUAAUUACUCAAUUGGAUGCUUUGCAAAAGACCAUAUUUACUUUGUUUAUCCGUUGAUGUUUUUGCUGAUGUAUCAUUUAUGGUAUUCGUUGUGUCGGAAUAAAGCAGAAUAGAGGAGUCACGACUCUUGAGCAUUUGUUUAGAGUUAGUAAGGAAAGGAGAGAAACAUUUUCGUACGACAUGUGUUAGUUUGCUUGAGGUUUAAAAUGAACAAAUCAGAGACCUAUUGACUACAGGACUAGCAUAAAAAAAAGGUGGGAUGUCUUUUCAGGAAGAAAACUGGAGGUGCCAUGGGAAAUGAGGUUAUUAUUACAUAGGCGUCUGUCUCAUUAUUUGAUUGAAUGUAUGACUUUUUUUGAGUUAUUUAGUUAUGAUUGUACGAAAUUUACAACUUUUUAUGAUUUAUUAUAAUUGAAUAUAUGAGUUUUUGAGUUAUUUAAUUAUGAUUAGUAUAACAGAGUCAUGAUGGUAGAAGUGACAGUCGGAUGCCGAAAUUAUGGCAUGUUGCGUGAAGAAAAACCUAUUGCAGGACAGAACUGUCAUGAACUUGUGUCUUUAGAUCGCAGCAGCUCGACUGUUAUUCAGGAUCAACAAUACAAGUGGCCGACAUGUAUUUCUUUAACAACAGGAAUUAUUCGUUGGCUCGGUGCGAGUUCUUUAACAUGGGAAAAUGUUUGGAAGGCUUUGGAUGAUGUCAGUGUUGAAGACAUCUAUGCCACCAACAUAUACAGCUUUACGGGUAAGUUAAGAAAAAGUAUCUUUUUUAUUUUAUGAAGAUAUAUAUAUUUGGUGAAUAUGGAUAGUAUAUUAAGAGAUAUCCCCUGACUGAAUGCCUAGACAGUGAGUUUUUAUUUGAUGGAAGCAAAAGAGAAGACUAGAGUUCAACCUCCUCUGCUACCUGGUCUUCUCGAUGAUCUUGCUACCGCGUGUUUGCAUUUAGGGUUGCCUUUGUUUAUUAUAUCUUUGUUAAGGUUGUCAUGUUUUUCAUUUCAGUUAUUAUAACGAGUCUUUGUUUUCUUGGAUAAAAUAACAUAGUAAUGGUUUGUGAAGAAUCAUCAUCGACGAUUCAGUUUCUCAAUAUUGCUACUGCUGCUCAUUCACGGAUGAUGCAUUCUUGCAGGCUCAAACUAGAAUAUGGCUAGGAGAAGUUUUGCAGAUAAGAUUGGAUGAUUAACUACUUACAUCAGAAUUACUUGCUGAUGGAGAAUUGCUCCAUCAAUAAUCACUUAACUGAUUAACCAAAAACUCAAAUUCCUCCAUCAAUAAUCACUUAACUGAUUUGAGACCUCACCUUCAUCAAUCUUCGAACCAAACAUCAACUUUGUUUUACACUCAGAUCACGACUUCGACCGAUCUGCAUCAUAGCAAUAUGCAUGCUUCUCAUCAGCAGGCAGCAUCGCAUGUUCGACACUCGGUGAACCUGCAUCAGAUAAUUUCCUGUGAGAUAAAUCACAAAACCAUGUACAAUUUAUUUGUUGUCUAUAAUUAAUCUUCAUGUUCAAGUUUUACUGCUUCAAACUUUUGAAUCCAGGAAUAUGCUAUGAACUUAUGAAUGAACUCAUGACGGCAGCCAAGCAAAAUUACGGAGAAAAACUCCUCAUCCAGGUACUACGUAGUGUGCAAAGACAUCACUUCUUGCCUUACUAUUGGAACACUAGCUUUUAUGUUUUAUGUUUUAUGUUUUCUGAAUCUGUUUUACCAUUUUAUUUUAGUUUGAAAUUAUGUCAUUGUUUUUUUAGAAUUUUGCAAACACACAAUGCUUUGAAGAGGGUUUCUGAAAGUGGUUGAUGUUCUGUUUUCUUAUUUGUGGUGAGUAUAAGCAAUCUCACAAGGUAUAAGUGAGUAUAAGCAUGCAUAAUUCAUUGGUUUCAAACAAUGUAUAUAAAAUGGAGAAUGACUUCAACUUCAAGUGUUAAUUGUAAUCAAAGGCGCCUCUCAAGCUCACAUGAAAGUUUUAUUGAACUAUAGUGGUAUUGUAUGUUGGGUGAUGGAUUUAGAAUAAGAGCAUAAGCUGAGCAUUACAGACACAAGAAAAUGAUGAGGGGAAAUGUAAGAAAACAAAAGAUGAAGAAUGAUUUAUUAUAGAAAAAGUACGUGUUUGAUCUAUGUAGUACACUCAACUUGGUGAGAAAAUACUUUCUUUUUUUGUUGUUUUAUGCUAUGAUUUGAUUAUUUUUCGUUUGUUUAAUAUAUGCAUGGAUAUACAUGAGCAAGGUAGCAUGGAUAAAGGUAUCCUUGGAGACAAUAUGUCCCUCAACACUCUAGGUGAAAUGCAAAAGAGAUAUAGUGACCAAUUGAAGCGAUGAAACAACUCACUGUUAUUACUCUUAGUUUCUUAUACAGCAAAUACAAAUUUUCACCAUCACCUAAAUAAUA